UGCUCAACCAAAAAGAUAUAAAAGAUAAUAAUCUCUAAAUUUUGAAUUCUCACUUUAGAGGGUAAAGUGUGAUCUCUCACCAUUUAUUUUAUAGGUGGGACCAAGAAUAAAUAUGAGAGAGAAACUAUUUAAGGGUAAAAGAUCAUACUUUACCUUCUAAAGUGAAAUUCAAAAUUUAGAGAAUCCAAAUCCAAAGAAAAAAUAUGGUUAAAACGACACAAUAAAACUUAUAAAACUAAAUAAAGUGGGUUUCCCUAUAAUAUCUUAUUCCACAGGAGUAGAAAACUAUCAAUGAAAUGCCUUCUGAGAAUCACAAUAAUUUGCAAGUUUUCAUCUUUAAUAGCAAACACUCUUGCAGUGUUAAUGAAUUUCUAGGUGUUGUGGAGCAUUACCUCGAUGUUGAGGUUUCCUUUUAUGAUCCGCAUCAUAAGCCCAUCAAAAUAAAUACUACAGGUUGGCAGGCUCAUCGAUGUAGCCAACAGACAAGCCGAGGUGGCCAAGUGAUAGGGAGAAGAGGUUGAAUACGGCACCUUAUAGCCUCAAUAAUGGGGCGCAAGGAGAGGGUGGUGAGUUUGCAACUAAAAAAUGUUUGGUACAUUUGAUAUAAAAUUUUAUUUUUAAUCAAACUUUAAGGAGUGAUAACUUGGAGUUCGAAUUCUC
rnacentral:lncRNA from 1 species